CAACAGAGUGCAUUGUUCGUUAUUCAGUUCUCCUGACAUUGUUUGAACAAGUUGCCUAGCAUGAUGAAAGAUGUCAUAAGGUUACUAAACAUAUGUUGUUGAUAAUGAAAAAAAGAAAUUUAUUUACAGAAUUGUAGAACCUAUUUUCGGAAACGUUUGCAGGAAAAGUUGCCGAAACCAUUUUCUCUUCCCGCAUUUUUGAAAGUAAGAUGGCCGAAUUCCAACCAUCAACCAAUAGAAUUGAAGGGGAAAUUGUUUGCUGAUCUAAGGCCUACAAGUGAUUCAACUAAAUAAGAUUGGGAACCAGAUGCAGUCAUUCUGAACAGCACGGUAACUCAUGUGAUUCACUCAUUUUAAAUUAACCGAAACUUUUCGUGUGAUCUGAGACCACCAGAAUCUGAGAGGCGUAUUGUGAGGCCUAUUUGUUCACAAAAUCGAAAUGCCAUACUGUAAUGGAUUGAAACAGAGUAGGAAUUCCAGUUGCAGUGUACUUUCAGUAUUGAGGACAUAAGAUUGUUGAAGAAGAAGAAAAAAAUCUAAGCUGGGCCCAGUUUUGGCUGCUGUUUGCGUCACAGGUGUAGUGUCCAAUAAAAUUCCUAUUGGGAUAUUAAAUGUUUUUGAUGAGGUGGCAAGUAUCAGUUUCAAAUUCACAUCAUCCCAUCAUGAAAAUUUCAGGACACAAGGAAAUUGAAGUUGAUAGGCAUGAAGAUAUAAAAACUACUGUUCUGGUUUUUAUGCGCAUUAGCGUAAAACUUCACUCGUCUAUCCCUGCUUAGGAAACAGUCCCUAUCGGUCUAGAGCUAACAGAAUGUAACACUGAUAAUAACUAAGAGGAAAAUGUAAGUCU